rnacentral:rRNA from 1 species
CUGUGCAAAGGUAGCAUAAUCAUUAGUCUUUUAAUUGAAGGCUGGAAUGAAUGGUUGGACGAGAUAUUAACUGUUUCAUAAAAAAUUAUAAUAGAAUUUUAUUUUUUAGUCAAAAAGCUAAAAUUUAUUUAAAAGACGAGAAGACCCUAUAAAUCUUUAUAUUUUAUUUAUUUUAAUAAAAAAGAUUAUUUAUAUAAAAAUAAAUUAAAAUAUUUUAUUGGGGUGAUAUUAAAAUUUAAUAAACUUUUAAUUUUAUUUAUUCAUUAAUUUAUGAAUUAUUGAUCCGUUAUUAACGAUUAAAAAAUUAAGUUACUUUAGGGAUAACAGCGUAAUUUUUUUGGAGAGUUCAUAUCGAUAAAAAAGAUUGCGACCUCGAUGUUGGAUUAAGAUAUAAUUUUGGGUGUAGCCGUUCAAAUUUUAAGUCUGUUCGACUUUUAAAUUCUUACAUGAUCUGAGUUCAAACCGGCGUAAGCCAGGUUGGUUUCUAUCUUUAAAUAUUUAUAAUAUUUUAGUACGAAAGGACCAAAUAUUAGAAUUAUAAAAUUUAAAUAAAGGAAUUUUAUUAAUUAAU